rnacentral:rRNA from 2 species
ACAGGGAUUGCCCUAGUAACGGCGAGUGAAGCGGCAACAGCUCAAAUUUGAAAUCUGGCUCUCGGGCCCGAGUUGUAAUUUGUAGAGGAUGCUUUUGGUGAGGUGCCUUCCGAGUUCCCUGGAACGGGACGCCAUAGAGGGUGAGAGCCCCGUCUGGUUGGACACCGAGCCUCUGUAAAGCUCCUUCGACGAGUCGAGUAGUUUGGGAAUGCUGCUCUAAAUGGGAGGUAUAUGUCUUCUAAAGCUAAAUAUUGGCCAGAGACCGAUAGCGCACAAGUAGAGUGAUCGAAAGAUGAAAAGCACUUUGAAAAGAGAGUUAAAAAGUACGUGAAAUUGUUGAAAGGGAAGCGCUUGUGACCAGACUUGGGCUUGGUUGAUCAUCCAGGGUUCUCCCUGGUGCACUCCUCCAGCUCAGGCCAGCAUCAGUUUGCUUCGGGGGAUAAAGGCGUCGGGAAUGUGGCUCCCUCCGGGGAGUGUUAUAGCCCGUCGUGUAAUACCCUGGGGCGGACUGAGGUUCGCGCAUCUGCAAGGAUGCUGGCGUAAUGGUCAUCAGCGACCCGUCUUGAAACACGGACCAAGGAGUCGUCUUCGUAUGCGAGUGUUCGGGUGUCAAACCCCUACGCGUAAUGAAAGUGAACGCAGGUGAGAGCUUCGGCGCAUCAUCGACCGAUCCUGAUGUUCUCGGAUGGAUUUGAGUAAGAGCAUACGGGGCCGGACCCGAAAGAAGGUGAACUAUGCCUGUAUAGGGUGAAGCCAGAGGAAACUCUGGUGGAGGCUCGCAGCGGUUCUGACGUGCAAAUCGAUCGUCAAAUAUGGGCAUGGGGGCGAAAGAC